GUGCUCAAUUCAGCAGCACAUACACUAGAAUUGGAAUGAUACAGAGAAGAUUCACAUGGCCCCUAUGCAAGGAUGAGACACAAAUUCAUAGCGUUCCAUAUGGAAGUU